UACGUAGGUGGCAAGCGUUGUCCGGAUUUACUGGGCGUAAAGAGCGCGCAGGCGGUCGUUCAAGUCGCGUGUGAAAGCCCCCGGCCCAACUGGGGAGGGUCACGCGAUACUGAUCGACUCGAAGGCAGGAGAGGGUAGUGGAAUUCCCGGUGUAGUGGUGAAAUGCGUAGAUAUCGGGAGGAACACCAGUGGCGAAGGCGGUUGCCUGGAGCUUUGCUGACGCUGAGGCGCGAAAGCGUGGGGAGCGAGUCCGG
rnacentral:rRNA from 1 species